rnacentral:tRNA from 1 species
UUUUUUUUUUCAAAAAAGCAAAAUGCAUAAAAUUUAAGAUUUUAUUUAGUGUAAAACACUUUUGAAAA